rnacentral:rRNA from 1 species
UACGAAGGGGGCUAGCGUUGUUCGGAAUUACUGGGCGUAAAGCGCACGUAGGCGGGCGAUUAAGUCAGGGGUGAAAUCCCGGAGCUCAACUCCGGAACUGCCUUUGAUACUGGUCGUCUAGAGAUCGGAAGAGGUGAGUGGAAUUCCCAGUGUAGAGGUGAAAAUUCGUAGAUAUUGGGAAGAACACCAGUGGCGAAGGCGGCUCACUGGUCCGAUACUGACGCUGAGGUGCGAAAGCGUGGGGAGCAAACAGG